rnacentral:rRNA from 1 species
GACGAACGCUGGCGGCGUGCUUAACACAUGCAAGUCGAACGGAAAGGCCCUGCUUUUGUGGGGUGCUCGAGUGGCGAACGGGUGAGUAACACGUGAGUAACCUGCCCUUGACUUUGGGAUAACUUCAGGAAACUGGGGCUAAUACCGGAUAGGAGCUCCUGCUUCAUGGUGGGGGUUGGAAAGUUUCGGCGGUUGGGGAUGGACUCGCGGCUUAUCAGCUUGUUGGUGGGGUAGUGGCUUACCAAGGCUUUGACGGGUAGCCGGCCUGAGAGGGUGACCGGCAACAUUGGGAAUGAGAUACGGCCCAGAAUGGUACGGGAGGCAGCAGUGGGGAAUAUUGCACAAUGGGCGGAAGCCUGAUGCAGCAACGCAGCGUGCGGGAUGACGGCCUUCGGGUUGUAAACCGCUUUCGCCUGUGACGAAGCGUGAGUGACGGUAAUGGGUAAAGAAGCACCGGCUAACUACGUG